rnacentral:rRNA from 1 species
UACGUAGGGGGCGAGCGUUGUCCGGAUUCAUUGGGCGUAAAGAGCUCGUAGGCGGCUUGGCAAGUCGGGUGUGAAAACUCCAGGCUCAACCUGGAGACGCCACUCGAUACUGCCAUGGCUUGAGUCUGGUAGGGGAUCACGGAAUUCCUGGUGUAGCGGUGAAAUGCGCAGAUAUCAGGAGGAACACCGGUGGCGAAGGCGGUGAUCUGGGCCAGUACUGACGCUGAGACGCGAAAGCGUGGGGAGCGAACAGG